rnacentral:rRNA from 1 species
GACGAACGCUGGCGGCGUGCCUAAUACAUGCAAGUAGGACGCUGAAGAGAGGAGCUUGCUCUUCUUGGAUGAGUUGCGAACGGGUGAGUAACGCGUAGGUAACCUGCCUUGUAGCGGGGGAUAACUAUUGGAAACGAUAGCUAAUACCGCAUAACAAUGGAUGACACAUGUCAUUUAUUUGAAAGGGGCAAUUGCUCCACUACAAGAUGGACCUGCGUUGUAUUAGCUAGUAGGUGAGGUAACGGCUCACCUAGGCGACGAUACAUAGCCGACCUGAGAGGGUGAUCGGCCACACUGGGACUGAGACACGGCCCAGACUCCUACGGGAGGCAGCAGUAGGGAAUCUUCGGCAAUGGGGGCAACCCUGACCGAGCAACGCCGCGUGAGUGGAGAAGGUUUUCGGAUCGUAAAGCUCUGUUGUAAGUCAAGAACGAGUGUGAGAGUGGAAAGUUCACACUGUGACGGUAGCUUACCAGAAAGGGACGGCUAACUACGUGCCAGCAGCCGCGGUAAUACGUAGGUCCCGAGCGUUGUCCGGAUUUAUUGGGCGUAAAGCGAGCGCAGGCGGUUUGAUAAGUCUGAAGUUAAAGGCUGUGGCUCAACCAUAGUUCGCUUUGGAAACUGUCAAACUUGAGUGCAGAAGGGGAGAGUGGAAUUCCAUGUGUAGCGGUGAAAUGCGUAGAUAUAUGGAGGAACACCGGUGGCGAAAGCGGCUCUCUGGUCUGUAACUGACGCUGAGGCUCGAAAGCGUGGGGAGCGAACAGG